GACGAACGCUGGCGGCGUGCCUAAUACAUGCAAGUAGAACGCACAGUUUAUACCGUAGCUUGCUACACCAUAGACUGUGAGUUGCGAACGGGUGAGUAACGCGUAGGUAACCUGCCUGGUAGCGGGGGAUAACUAUUGGAAACGAUAGCUAAUACCGCAUAAUAUUGAUUAUUGCAUGAUAAUUGAUUGAAAGAUGCUAUUGCAUCACUACCAGAUGGACCUGCGUUGUAUUAGCUAGUAGGUGAGGUAACGGCUCACCUAGGCGACGAUACAUAGCCGACCUGAGAGGGUGAUCGGCCACACUGGGACUGAGACACGGCCCAGACUCCUACGGGAGGCAGCAGUAGGGAAUCUUCGGCAAUAGACGAAAGUCUGACCGAGCAACGCCGCGUGAGUGAAGAAGGUUUUCGGAUCGUAAAGCUCUGUUGUAAGAGAAGAACGGGUGUGAGAGUGGAAAGUUCACACUGUGACGGUACCUUACCAGAAAGGGACGGCUAACUACGUG
rnacentral:rRNA from 1 species